AAAUAAUGAACGCUCCAUCAAAAAUUCUGCAAUAUUUUGUAGAGACAUCUAAAAUUGUAAAGAUAAAACUGAUUUACUUGAAUGAUAUACUUAACUAGACAAUUGAUUUAGUGACUCACUCCUGCCAUAUCUAACAACUGUAGCUAGCCUAUCCAAUCUGUGGAUUGCAUCUUCAGCUAGAUUCUUUAAGUGCUGUAAUGCUGCACCUAGUAAUAGACAUAAGUCUUGAUAUGAGUUGCAUGCUACUCGUAUAAAUAUGUAGACUCAUAAACUCAAAGUAAUACACCAAAG
rnacentral:misc_RNA from 1 species